UAUUGGUUACUUGAAAAGUAUCAGUACUCUUUUAUUUUCGUUUUCUUUUUGUUUACAGUAUAUGUGUGUUUACAGAAUGUAGUGAUAUGAAUGGAAUAUAUAAGAAAUCAAAACAAGAAAAAAAAAAUCAAAAUUAAAGGAAAAAAUAAAGAACUGUAAGCAAAUAUGAUGAUUAUUUACAAAUAAAAGUCAAACUUCAAUUUUGCAAAGUGCAAUAAAGUUGAUUAAUUCAUCUAUAUUUUGUUGGUUUUUGGACAUCAGGAUUUCCGGUUUCACAAAGAUUUGAGUCAGCAAUUCCAAUCCUGUGGAAAUAUUUUUUGGUGUAAGUAUGACCAGUGAGCAAUCGAUUAACAAUCUUUAUGUUUUCAGGUUUCAUGUUUGAUGAAAAGAACCAGGGCUGUUUAGCAGGCGCCGGGAAGAAUUGGUAGAAGAGUGGCUCAAUGCGUUUCGACGCAUCUGUGACCGACAGACAGAAGUUGAUUGGUGAACCAACAUUUGCUGCAUGCUUCGCAAAAUAAUCGGCUGUUUCAUUGAUUGGUAUACCGACUAGCCUUAGGUGUGUCUGGUUACUUUUCCUGCAACAAUUGUCCAGCAACAUCUUUCUGAGAGAGUAAGGUACUUUUAUUCUCUUUUGCAUGGAAGAUGCGAAAAGUAAACAGACGGUAUUCCUGCAGAAACUUGCAACUAAUCAGCUGUUUUGUCAAAACAAAACAAUUUGUCCCCCAUUCAAAAAAAAAAUA